GCACCCCGGAGUACUCCAUUUUCAAUAUCCAUUGUAAACGACAAUGGGUUCGUCCAUGGCGCUCCUCAUCCUGCAUUUUUUAUCUUCUUUGCAUGCCUUGUGUUUGCCUUUCUAUUUCCAAUCAGCCUCGGGGAAGAGGUCCACCUCUAUCAUCAUCCCAUGGAUGGAUUCCUCAAGCCCAAGUGUCACGAGUUUGGGCUGUGAACUGGGUGAGGAGGAAGUUGUACCUGUUGUAAGCAGCGGAUGUAAGGAAAGCUCCAUCCUGGUUAAAGGAGCAGGGAUUUAGUGGAAUCUUUGAGUGAGUUGCUCAAGGGGAGGAAGUAGUACAGGAACAAUAUUUAGUAUGCGCGGAAGGCUAACAAGUCAUGGAAGCCAUGAAGAUUAAAGUAUACACAUCUUGGCACAAUCCAUGGAACUAAAAAAGUAGAAGAAUAAAGAUGCAAGUGACAAGUUCAAGAUCGUCAUGGGAAUGGGUAUUUAGAACUGAAUGUAUUCACAAGUGAAUACGAAGCAUUCAAAAUGAAUUCUGAUUAAACGAUAUCAAGCAUGUACACUAGAUUUACCCACAUAAUAAACUCUUUAAGUGCCUUAGGAAAAACCUAUACUACAUAUGAAA